UACGUAGGGGGCGAGCGUUGUCCGGAUUUAUUGGGCGUAAAGAGCGUGUAGGCGGCCAGGUAGGUCUGCUGUGAAAACUCGAGGCUCAACCUCGAGACGUCGGCGGAAACCAUCUGGCUAGAGUCCGGAAGAGGAGAGUGGAAUUCCUGGUGUAGCGGUGAAAUGCGCAGAUAUCAGGAAGAACACCCGUGGCGAAGGCGGCUCUCUGGGACAGUACUGACGCUGAGACGCGAAAGCGUGGGGAGCGAACAGG
rnacentral:rRNA from 1 species